GGCCGCGUGGCUCAGUUGGAAGAGCAUUGGGCUAGUAUUCCAAAGGUCGUAGGUUCGAAUCCCGCCGUGGCCG
rnacentral:tRNA from 1 species